UCCCGAUUGGUGUAGUGGUCAACAUUUCGGAUUCUCACUGGUCUUACACCAGAGCACUUCCGGAGCCAGGGGUUCGAUUCCCCUAUCGGGAA